CCUACGGGCGGCUGCAGUGGGGAAUAUUGGACAAUGGGGGCAACCCUGAUCCAGCCAUGCCGCGUGAGUGAUGAAGGCCUUCGGGUUGUAAAGCUCUUUUGGCGGGGACGAUGAUGACGGUACCCGCAGAAUAAGCCCCGGCUAACUUCGUGCCAGCAGCCGCGGUAAGACGAAGGGGGCUAGCGUUGUUCGGAAUUACUGGGCGUAAAGCGAGUGUAGGUGGUUGUCAUAGUCAGGUGUGAAAGCCUUGAGCUCAACUCAAGAAAUGCACUUGAUACUGGGCGACUAGAGGACCGGAGAGGAUAGUGGAAUUCCCAGUGUAGUGGUGAAAUACGUAGAGAUUGGGAAGAACACCAGUGGCGAAGGCGGCUAUCUGGACGGUUACUGACACUAAGACUCGAAAGCGUGGGGAGCAAACAGGAUUAGAUACCCCAGUAGUC
rnacentral:rRNA from 1 species